UUGAAAGGGAAACGAUUGAAGUCAGUCGUACCGGCGGGUAAUCAGCCUUUUGGGUGUGAUUAUGUGGAGUGUGAGGAGCUAAUCGCCUUCAUCUUUGCAUAUUCGUGCACUUUGGGUGUACUUGCUCGUGUGGUAGGUUAACAUCAAUUUUGAUCAUCAUAAAAUGAUUGAAGGAAUGUAGCUUCGAUCUCGUAUUGAAGUGUUAUAGCCUUUGGUAGAUGUGAUGAUCGGGAUUGAGGAUUGCAACGGAUACCCUUCGGGGCUACCCGUCUGAUCUCUGAAAGUUGCUCUGGUGCUGAAAGCUUGCUUAUGGUAUCAAAGUUGACGUUUAAUAGGUUAGAACGGGAUAAAUUCGUUAAGGAUGUUGACGUA
rnacentral:rRNA from 1 species